AUUGAACGCUGGCGGCAGGCCUAACACAUGCAAGUCGAGCGAGCGGCGGACGGGUGAGUAAUGUCGGGGAAACUGCCUGAUGGAGGGGGAUAACUACGGGAAACGGUAUCUAAUACCGUAUAAAAUCAGAUGUGCCGAGAUGGGAUUAGCUAGUAGGUGGGGUAACGGCUCACCUAGGCGACGAUCCCUAGCUGGUCUGAGAGGAUGACCAGCCACACUGGAACUGAGACACGGUCCAGACUCCUACGGGAGGAAGCAGUGGGGAAUAUUGCACAAUGGGCGAAAGUCUGAUGCAGCCAUGCCGCGUGUGUGAAGAAGGCCUUCGGGUUGUAAAGCACUUUUAGCGGGGAGGCGUUACCCGAAGAAGAAGCACCGGCUAACUCCGUGCCAGCAGCCGCGGUAAUAC
rnacentral:rRNA from 1 species